rnacentral:tRNA from 1 species
CUUAGCUCAAUCGGUAGAGCAACUGACUCUUAAUCAGUAGGUUAUGGGUUCGAUUCCCCUAG